AGAAACUAAAUAAAAACAAUUAAAACUGAAUGACUAAAAAGAACCUGAGGAAAAGCAAAGCUACAUAUCGUUUUUAAAUAUGUCCACAGUUUCAGCCCCCCUCAGGUUCUCUGGCAGGUUAUUCCAGAGGCUGGGACCAUAGUAACUAAAGGCUGGGGGCAUAGUAACUAAAGGCUGGGGACAUAGUAACUAAAGGCUGGGGGCAUAGCAACUAAAGGCUGGGGGCAUAGCAACUAAAGGCUGGGGGCCCAUAGUAACUAAAGGCUGGGGACAUAGUAACUAAAGGCUGGGGGCCCAUAGUAACUAAAGGCUGGGGGCAUAGUAACUAAAGACUGGGGACAUAGUAACUAAAGGCUGGGGACAUAGUAACUAGAGGCUGGGGCCAUAGUAACUAAAGGCUGGGGGCAUAGUAACUAAAGGCUGGGGGCAUAGUAACUAAAGGCUGGGGGCAUAGUAACUAAAGGCUGGGGGCAUAGUAACUAAAGGCUGGGGACAUAGUAACUAAAGGCUGGGGCCAUAGUAACUAGAGGCUGGGGACAUAGUAACUAGAGGCUGGGGGCAUAGUAACUAAAGGCUGGGGGCAUAGUAACUGAAGGCUGGGGGCAUAGUAACUAAAGGCUGGGGACAUAGUAACUAAAGGCUGGGGGCAUAGUAACUAAAGGCUGGGGGCAUAGUAACUAAAGGCUGGGGGCAUAGUAACUAAAGUCUGG
rnacentral:lncRNA from 1 species